rnacentral:rRNA from 1 species
CGAGCGCAACCCUUGUCCUUAGUUACCAGCACGUUAUGGUGGGCACUCUAAGGAGACUGCCGGUGGACAAACCGGAGGAAGGUGGGGAUGACGUCAAGUCAUCAUGGCCCUUACGGCCUGGGCUACACACGUGCUACAAUGGUCGGUACAAAGGGUUGCCAAGCCGCGAGGUGGAGCUAAUCCCAUAAAACCGAAUCGUAGUCCGGAUCGCAGUCUGCAACUCGACUGCGUGAAGUCGGAAUCGCUAGUAAUCGUGAAUCAGAAUGUCACGGUGAAUACGUUCCCGGGCCUU